rnacentral:rRNA from 1 species
UCCUGGCUCAGGACGAACGCUGGCGGCGUGCUUAACACAUGCAAGUCGAACGGGCCCGCACCUUUUUUUUGGGGGCGGGUUGAGUGGCGAACGGGUGAGUAUCACGUGAGUAACCUGCCCUCCUCUCCUGGAUAACCGCUUGAAAGGGCGGCUAAUACGGGGUGGUCCGGUUGGUCCGCAUGGGCCGGCUGGGAUAGUUUCAUCUUCGGGUGUUUCGGUGGGGGAUGGGCUCGCGGCCUAUCAGCUUGUUGGUGGGGUGAUGGCCCACCAAGGCGGUGACGGGUAGCCGGCCUGAGAGGGUGGGCGGCCACACUGGGACUGAGACACGGCCCAGACUCCUGCGGGAGGCAGCAGUGGGGGGUAUUGCACAAUGGGCGGAAGCCUGAUGCAGCGACGUCGCGUGAGGGAUGGAGGCCUUCGGGUUGUGAACCUCUGUUUCCGGUGGUGAAGGCCCCGCCCUUGGUGGUGGGGUUGACGGUAGCCGGGUAUGAAGCGCCGGCUAACUACGUGCCAGCAGCCGCGGUAAUACGUAGGGCGCGAGCGUUGUCCGGAAUUAUUGGGCGUAAAGGGCUUGUAGGCGGCUGGUCGCGUCUGCCGUGAAAUCCUCUGGCUCAGCUGGGGGCGUGCGGUGGGUACGGGCUGGCUUGAGUGCGGUAGGGGAGACUGGAACUCCUGGUGUAGCGGUGGAAUGCGCAGAUAUCAGGAAGAACACCGGUGGCGAAGGCGGGUCUCUGGGCCGUUACUGACGCUGAGGAGCGAAAGCGUGGGGAGCGAACAGGAUUAGAUACCCUGGUAGUCCACGCCGUAAACGUUGGGCACUAGGUGUGGGGGGCCUUUUCCGGGU